rnacentral:snRNA from 1 species
GUGCUCACUUCAACAGCACAUAUACUAAAAUUGUAAUGAUACAGAGAAGAUUAGCAUGGCCCCUGCACAAGAAUGACAUGUAAAUUCUUGAAGCAUUCCAUAUUUUU